ACUAUAAUUACCCUGCUAAAGGCUUCAAAUCUGUUUACAGGAUUCAGUGCCAUGGGCUUCACUGCACUGAUGGUUGUAUUUAGCUUAUUUAGAGGAAAAAUAUGUGCUGGAAUUUAAGGAAGUGUGUGAGGACGUGUCAUGUCAGACAGACACUUGAUCUAGUUCUAAAUAAUUGUGGCAAAGUUUCUGAAUAAACUGCUUUAUGGACUUGAAGCAGGAAUGUCUUAUCCAGUUUAGACAGUGAAGUGACUGUAAUGCUUUGGAAAUCACAAUGGAUUUUUCCAGAGCUUGUCUGGGCAUUGAGAGUUACAAAGAAGAUCCAUGCAGCAGGAUGUGCUUGAAUCCAUUCUUUCUCCAUUUGGGUUCUCCUCCGCUUUUCCAGCAUCAUGGAGGGACCAUAAAAACACUAAAUUAAGGUGAUCUUGUUUUUACACAGGGAAAUUUUUAAUCCAAGAAAUUCUCUAUUCUGAUUUAUGAAUCAGGCUGGAGGAAGAACAGAAGGAAGAGAAAGGAAUCACUGACUGACUGUAAUUAUUGCAUUUUCAGUCAGUGCACAAGCCUUAAUCCUGAUAGCACUCCCCCUCAGAAGUAUUCACUAAAUGAAAAAGUAAAUGUGAUAGCUUUGAAAAGUGUCUUUAAAGCAACAUUUCCUGCAGAUAAAAAUCUGUGCAUAUCUGAGCAUUGAGGACAUUUUGAGGUCAACUGGGAAGUGAACGAAAAAAUGUUUAAUUCAGUGGUCAAAUGGGUAACUGAACAUAAAAUACAUCCAAGCAAAAAUUUCUGAACAUUUACAGACGAAGGACCAGUUUGCUAAAAUUCAUCUUAAAUCUGCAAGUUUCAAGCAGCAAAUUAAGGGUUGUUUUUCCAUCAUCCAGGUAUUGCUAUCAUCUGGAGCAAGAUUGAUUGAUCAUCAAGAUAUUAUCACUGUGAAUGUAUGUGGACUUUGGGGUAAAUUUUGUGUUUCUCUCCCCACUUGAAAGCUCUACUAGAAGAGAAUAGCUGGAAUUAUGCCACUUGAAAACAUAUUUGAGGAAGUCUGAGGAAAACAAGCUGACCUUUUAUGUACCACUGAAAGCAACAGGAUGAGUUUCCCCUUCAGAGCAGAAACAGCUUACAGUAAAGUCAAAUAAAAUUAAGUCCUUAAGCCACAA